rnacentral:lncRNA from 1 species
GUUCAAAUCAUCCCACAUGUGCCUUGAUUUCUUUGCCUGUGAGGUCCCCUCAGAUUCACAGGAGGUGAAUGUCCCAGGAGACAGUGCCAGAGGGCUGGACCAGACCUCCUUGUUCACCCCUGUAUGCAGUGCCUAGCCUGUGAGCACUGAAGACCUCCACAGAAGAAUGAAGAAAGGACAGGAUGCCGGAAGUGUCAGCCUCAACAGCCCAGAGC